rnacentral:snoRNA from 1 species
UGCAGCCCUGUCAAAUUCGAUCCCAGCACUUCCAUGGUUGGGAUUGGCCAAAUGGCUGCCACAGCAUCUUCUGUCCUGCACCAGCCUCCUGUCCCCCACCCCGUGGGACACCAAGGGCUGAGGUGACACCA